UGAGGAAUAUUUGCGCAAUGGACGGAAGUCUGACGCAGCAAUGCCGCGUGCGGGAAGAAGGCGCUAUGCGUCGUAAAAACGCUGUAGCGUGGGGCAAAAAGCGCCUUAGGGGCGUUAGAUGGUACCACGAAAGUAAGCAUCGGCUAACUACGUGCCAGCAGCCGCGGUAAUACGUAGGAUGCAAGCGUUGUCCGGAUUUACUGGGUGUAAAGGGUGCGCAGGCGGGCUUGUAAGUCAGAGGUGAAAGCCCGGAGCUUAACUCCGGAAAUGCCUUUGAUACUGCAAGUCUUGAAUCUGAUAGAGGCUCAUGGAAUAUGUGGUGUAGCGGUGAAAUGCGUAGAUAUCACAUAGAACACCGGUGGCGAAGGCGGUGAGCUGGGUCAGUAUUGACGCUCAUGCACGAAAGCGUGGGGAGCAAACAGGAUUAGAUACCCUGGUAGUCCACGCCGUAAACGAUGUAUGCUUGAUGUUGGGGCGGUAGCGUCUCAGUGUCGAAGGAAAUCCGAUAAGCAUACCACCUGGGAAGUACGAUCGCAAGGUUG
rnacentral:rRNA from 1 species